rnacentral:rRNA from 1 species
AACGAACGCUGGCGGCAUGCCUAACACAUGCAAGUCGAACGAAGCCUUCGGGCUUAGUGGCGCACGGGUGCGUAACGCGUGGGAAUCUGCCCUUGGGUUCGGAAUAACAGUUAGAAAUGACUGCUAAUACCGGAUGAUGACGUAAGUCCAAAGAUUUAUCGCCCAGGGAUGAGCCCGCGUAGGAUUAGGUAGUUGGUGGGGUAAAGGCUCACCAAGCCGACGAUCCUUAGCUGGUCUGAGAGGAUGAUCAGCCACACUGGGACUGAGACACGGCCCAGGCUCCUACGGGAGGCAGCAGUGGGGAAUAUUGGACAAUGGGCGCAAGCCUGAUCCAGCAAUGCCGCGUGAGUGAUGAAGGCCUUAGGGUUGUAAAGCUCUUUUACCAGGGAUGAUAAUGACAGUACCUGGAGAAUAAGCUCCGGCUAACUCCGUGCCAGCCGCCGCCGUAA